rnacentral:rRNA from 1 species
UACGUAGGGUGCAAGCGUUAAUCGGAAUUACUGGGCGUAAAGCGUGCGCAGGCGGUUUUGUAAGACAGAUGUGAAAUCCCUGGGCUCAACCUAGGAACUGCGUUUGAAACUACAGGACUAGAAUAUGUCAGAGGGGGGUAGAAUUCCACGUGUAGCAGUGAAAUGCGUAGAGAUGUGGAGGAAUACCAAUGGCGAAGGCAGCCCCCUGGGAUAAUAUUGACGCUCAUGCACGAAAGCGUGGGGAGCAAACAGG